rnacentral:rRNA from 1 species
GAUGAACGCUGGCGGCGUGCCUAAUACAUGCAAGUCGAGCGAACGGACGAGGAGCUUGCUCCUCUGACGUUAGCGGCGGACGGGUGAGUAACACGUGGAUAACCUACCUAUAAGACUGGGAUAACUUCGGGAAACCGGAGCUAAUACCGGAUAAUAUAUUGAACCGCAUGGUUCAAUAGUGAAAGACGGUUUUGCUGUCACUUAUAGAUGGAUCCGCGCCGCAUUAGCUAGUUGGUAAGGUAACGGCUUACCAAGGCAACGAUGCUUAGCCGACCUGAGAGGGUGAUCGGCCACACUGGAACUGAGACACGGUCCAGACUCCUACGGGAGGCAGCAGUAGGGAAUCUUCCGCAAUGGGCGAAAGCCUGACGGAGCAACGCCGCGUGAGUGAUGAAGGUCUUCGGAUCGUAAAACUCUGUUAUUAGGGAAGAACAAAUGUGUAAGUAACUGUGCACGUCUUGACGGUACCUAAUCAGAAAGCCACGGCUAACUACGUG